AUCCGGCUUUAUUGGGUUUAAAGGGUGCGUAGGUGUCCUGUUAAGUCAGGGGUGAAAGACGGUAGCUCAACUAUCGCAGUGCCCUUGAUACUGAUGGGCUUGAAUGAACUAGAGGUAGGCGGAAUGUGACAAGUAGCGGUGAAAUGCAUAGAUAUGUCACAGAACACCAAUUGCGAAGGCAGCUUACUAUGGUUUUAUUGACACUGAGGCACGAAAGCGUGGGGAUCAAACAGG
rnacentral:rRNA from 1 species